GAGGACCUUUGGCGGCGUGCCUAACACAUGCAAGUCGAACGAAGCACCUUUUGAGAUUCUUCGGAUGAUCGAUCGGUGACUGAGUGGCGGACGGGUGAGUAACGCGUGGGUAACCUGCCCUGUACAGGGGGAUAACAGCUGGAAACGGCUGCUAAUACCGCAUAAGCGCACGAGGAGACAUCUCCUUGUGUGAAAAACUCCGGUGGUACAGGAUGGGCCCGCGUCUGAUUAGCUGGUUGGCAGGGUAACGGCCUACCAAGGCAACGAUCAGUAGCCGGUCUGAGAGGAUGAACGGCCACAUUGGAACUGAGACACGGUCCAAACUCCUACGGGAGGCAGCAGUGGGGAAUAUUGCACAAUGGGGGAAACCCUGAUGCAGCAACGCCGCGUGAGUGAAGAAGUAUUUCGGCAUGUAAAGCUCUAUCAGCAGGGAAGAUAAUGACGGUACCUGACUAAGAAGCUCCGGCUAAAUACGUGCCAGCAGCCGCGGUAAUACGUAAGGAGCAAGCGUUAUCCGGAUUUACUGGGCGUAAAGGGUGCGUAGGUGGCAGUGCAAGUCAGAUGUGAAAGGCCGGGGCUCAACCCCGGAGCUGCAUUUGAAACUGCUCGGCUAGAGUACAGGAGAGGCAGGCGGAAUUCCUAGUGUAGCGGUGAAAUGCGUAGAUAUUAGGAGGAACACCAGUGGCGAAGGCGGCCUGCUGGACUGUUACUGACACUGAGGCACGAAAGCGUGGGGAGCAAAC
rnacentral:rRNA from 1 species